UCGGGAAUUUUGGGCAAUGGGCGAAAGCCUGACCCAGCAACGCCGCGUGAAGGAUGAAGUAUUUCGGUAUGUAAACUUCGUAAGAAUAGGAAGAAUAAAUGACGGUACUAUUUGUAAGGUCCGGCUAACUACGUGCCAGCAGCCGCGGUAAUACGUAGGGACCAAGCGUUGUUCGGAUUUACUGGGCGUAAAGGGCGCGUAGGCGGUGUGUCAAGUCAGUUGUGAAAUCUCCGAGCUUAACUCGGAACGGUCAACUGAUACUGUCACACUAGAGUACAGAAGGGGCAAUCGGAAUUCUUGGUGUAGCGGUGAAAUGCGUAGAUAUCAAGAGGAACACCUGAGGCGAAGACGGGUUGCUGGGCUGACACUGACGCUGAGGCGCGAAAGCCAGGGGAGCAAACGGGAUUAGAUACCCCCGUAGUCCCUGAGCGGGCUGGCAAGGCGCAU
rnacentral:rRNA from 1 species